rnacentral:rRNA from 1 species
UGGGGAAUAUUGGACAAUGGGCGAAAGCCUGAUCCAGCCAUGCCGCGUGUGUGAAGAAGGUCUUCGGAUUGUAAAGCACUUUAAGUUGGGAGGAAGGGCAGUAAGCGAAUACCUUGCUGUUUUGACGUUACCGACAGAAUAAGCACCGGCUAACUCUGUGCCAGCAGCCGCGGUAAUACAGAGGGUGCAAGCGUUAAUCGGAAUUACUGGGCGUAAAGCGCGCGUAGGUGGUUCGUUAAGUUGAAUGUGAAAGCCCCGGGCUCAACCUGGGAACUGCAUCCAAAACUGGCGAGCUAGAGUAGGGCAGAGGGUGGGGGAAGUUCCUGUGUAGCGGUGAAAUGCGUAGAUAUAGGAAGGAACACCAGUGGCGAAGGCGACCACCUGGGCUCAUACUGACACUGAGGUGCGAAAGCGUGGGGAGCAAACAGG